rnacentral:rRNA from 1 species
AUUGAACGCUGGCGGCAGGCCUAACACAUGCAAGUCGAACGAGUGGCGGACGGGUGAGUAAUGUCUGGGAAACUGCCUGAUGGAGGGGGAUAACUACUGGAAACGGUAGCUAAUACCGCAUACCAUCGGAUGUGCCCAGAGGGGAUUAGCUAGUCGGUGGGGAAAAGGCUCACCUGGGCGACGAUCCCUCGCUGGUCUGAGAGGAUGACCAGCCACACGGGAACUGAGACACGGUCCAGACUCCUACGGGGGGCAGCAGGGGGGAAUAUUGCACAAUGGGCGCAAUCCUGAUGCAGACAUGCCGGGUGUAUGAAGAAGGCCUUCGGGUUGAAAAUUACUUUCAGCGGGGAGGCGUUACCCGCAGAAGAAGCACCGGCUAACUCCGUGCCAGCAGCCGCGGUAAUUC